GUUCAUAUCCCUUGUGCUCAUAUGGGAUAUAUCAACAUCUACUAUCCCAGCAAAUACUUUGUAAAAUCGGCCAGCUUCAUCAAGUUGACAAAGAAAGGGGCGGGCAACGAUUGUAACUGGGACUUCAUCAUUCGACCUGCUGAUGUCUCCUUUGGAUCAUCAUCAGAUGUUAGACCUAGGAAGUGGUGGCAAGAGGUGUAGGGGCAUCUACAGUCGUUAUGACACAGGUGUUCUAUUUCAUACACCUCGUAACCGAGUUACCACAGAUGUAACUUAGUGGGUGAUCGUUUUUCUGUGUGUUAGUCAAAAGCGACCAAUGGGUUGGAGCCAUUGUGGUUAAGUGUCUUGCCCAAUGACACAUACGCCCACAGUUUACAGUUUGGGCCUUGAUGCUGCUACCAUUGUCAGCAAUACCAUAUUACAUCUACUGUCAUUGCCCUGCCACGCAGGUAAAAACAAGUUACAUUCAUUCAUAUUUAAGCUUCAGAUACACAUGAUGUACUAGCUA